AACUGAAUAUCUAGAGUUUUGCAGAGGAUGACGGAACACCUGGAGUAGCGGUGAAAUGCGUAGAUAUCAGGUGGAACACCGACGGCGAAGGCAGUCAUCUGGGCAAAAACUGACGCUGAGGUGCGAAAGCUGGGGGAGCGAACAGGAUUAGAUACCCUGGUAGUCCCAGCUGUAAACGAUGAGUGCUAGAUAUAUGAGUGUUAGAGCUUAUGUGUCGCAGCUAACGCAUUAAGCACUCCGCCUGAGGAGUAUAAUCGCAAGGUUGAAACUCAAAGGAAUUGACGGGGGCCCGCACAAGCGGUGGAGCAUGUGGUUUAAUUCGAAGCAACGCGAAGAACCUUACCAGGGCUUGACAUGUUGGGAAGCUCUUAGAAAUAAGAGUGUGCUUCUUUUUAGGAGAGCCCAAACACAGGUGGUGCAUGGCUGUCGACAGCUCGUGUUGUGAGAUGUUGGGUUAAGUCCCGCAACGAGCGUAACCCUUUUUGUUAGUUGCCAGCAAGUAGUGUUGGGGACUCUAACGAGACUGCCUGCGUAAGCAGGAGGAAGGUGGGGACGACGUCAAGUCAUUAUGCCCCUUAUGUCCUGGGCUACACACGUGCUACAAUGGACACGACAAAGGGCAGCGAAUCCGCAAGGUGAAGCGAAUCCCAUAAGCGUGUUCGUAGUUCGGAUUGCAGUCUGCAACUCGACUGCAUGAA
rnacentral:rRNA from 1 species